rnacentral:misc_RNA from 1 species
GAAAUGCGAUAAUUAAUGUGAAUUGCAGAAUUCAGUGAAUCAUCGAGUCUUUGAACGCACAUUGCGCCCCCUGGUAUUCCGGGGGGCAUGCCUGUCCGAUCGUCAUUGCUGCCCUCAAGCACGGCUUGUGUGUUGGGCUUCCGUCCCUGGCAACGGGGACGGGCCCAAAAGGCAGUGGCGGCACCAUGUCUGGUCCUCGAGCGUAUGGGGCUUUGUCACCCGCUCCCGUAGGUCCAGCUGGCAGCUAGCCUCGCAACCAAUCUUUUUAACCAGGUUGACCUCGGAUCAGGUAGGGAUACCCGCUGAACUUAAGC